GGAUUGAACGCUGGCGGCAUGCCUUACACAUGCAAGUCGAACGGCAGCACGGGAGCAAUCCUGGUGGCGAGUGGCGAACGGGUGAGUAAUACAUCGGAACGUGCCUAGUAGUGGGGGGAUAGCCCGGCGAAAGCCGGAUUAAUACCGCAUACGACCUACGGGUGAAAGCGGGGGAUCGCAAGACCUCGCGCUAUUGGAGCGGCUGAUGUCAGAUUAGGUAGUUGGUAGGGUAAAAGCCUACCAAGCCGACGAUCUGUAGCUGGUCUGAGAGGACGACCAGCCACACUGGGACUGAGACACGGCCCAGACUCCUACGGGAGGCAGCAGUGGGAAUUUUGGACAAUGGGGGAAACCUGAUCCAGCCAUCCCGCGUGUGCGAUGAAGGCCUUCGGGUUGUAAGGCACUUUUUGGCUAGGAAGAAACGGCGUGCCCUAAUACGGACGUCGACUGACGGUACCUGCAGAAUAAGACACCGCUAACUACGU
rnacentral:rRNA from 1 species